GAUGAACGCUGGCGGCGUGCCUAAUACAUGCAAGUCGAGCGAAAAGACGAGGAGCUUGCUCCUCUGACGUUAGCGGCGGGCGGGUGAGUAACACGUGGAUAACCUACCUAUAAGACUGGGAUAACUUCGGGAAACCGGAGCUAAUACCGGAUAAUAUAUUGAACCGCAUGGUUCAAUAGUGAAAGACGGUUUUGCUGUCACUUAUAGAUGGAUCCGCGCCGCAUUAGCUAGUUGGUAAGGUAACGGCUUACCAAGGCAGCGAUGCGUAGCCGACCUGAGAGGGUGAUCGGCCACACUGGAACUGAGACACGGUCCAGACUCCUACGGGAGGCAGCAGUAGGGAAUCUUCCGCAAUGGGCGAAAGCCUGACGGAGCAACGCCGCGUGAGUGAUGAAGGUCUUCGGAUCGUAAAACUCUGUUAUUAGGGAAGAACAAAUGUGUAAGUAACUAUGCACGUCUUGACGGUACCUAAUCAGAAAGCCACGGCUAACUACGUG
rnacentral:rRNA from 1 species